rnacentral:rRNA from 1 species
AUGGCCGAGGCUGCUGUUAAGGCCGUCGUCGGGAACGUGAACAGCCUUGCCGUUCAGGAGACCACCCUGCUAUGUGGAGUCAACCUCGAAGUGGAGUGCCUGAAAAAUGAGCUGGAGCGACUGAAGUGGUACCUGAAAUCUGCCGACGCUAAAUGGAGAUCGGGAGAUGACCGUGUGGCUACCUGGGUCAGCCAGAUCAGGGCCGUCUCAUAUGAGGCUGAGAAUGUCAUCGAGGUCGCCGAUUACAUGGGCAAGAGAAACAGGCUCAAGAAGGGCUUCUUGGGUGCCAUCUCAAGGUAUGCUCACUUACCCGGUGACUUGAUCACUCUUCAUAAAGUCGGUGUUGAAAUCAAGCGUGUUAGAAGGAAGCUCGAUGAGAUAUUUCAAAGCGCAGAACGUUUGAAAUUUAAUUUAGACACUAGUGUUGUUGACAAGGUUCACAUAGAUGGUGAGUCUCAACAGGAAUAUGGUCUUAUAUACGAAAACAUUGAAGAUGAUUUUGUGAUGGUUGGUUUUGAAGAAGAGUACGAAGAAAUAGUUGAUAAAUUAGUUGACAUAGAGAAGGAUCUUAGUGUUGUCUCCAUAGUUGCCAUUGGUGGUGCGGGAAAAACAACACUUGCUAGAAAAGUCUACUCUUCAUCUAUAGUAGAACAACACUUUGAGAAAAUUGCUUGGGUGACUGUAUCUGAAAAGUAUAAGGGCAUUGAUUUAAUGAAGGAUAUUAUGAAACAAAUAAUGGGGGCAAGGGGUGAUUUACUUGAACAAAUGGAAGAGUAUGAGGUGGGAAAGAAGACCCAUGAUUUUCUCUUGCAUAAAAGAUACUUGGUAGUUCUCGAUGAUGUGUGGGAAACCGACACGUGGGACCAAAUAAACAAAAAGGUCAAAGCCUUUCCAAAUGCAAGUAAUGGCAGUAGAGUACUCUUAACUACUCGAAAGGAAGAUGUCGCAAAUCAUAUACAAAUGCCAACCCAUGUUCAUCAUUUGAAGAAGUUAGACGAAGAUGAAAGUUGGAAACUUUUUAACAGCAAAGCUCUACCAUCACACAUAAGGAGAACCAUAAUUGAUGUGUAUGAGUUUGAAGAACUAGGGAGAAACCUUGCAAGAAAAUGUGAUGGAUUACCUCUUGCCCUUGCGGUUUUGGGAGGCUAUCUAUCAAGGAAUCUAAACACACAAACAUGGUGUGAUAUACUCUUGGAUUGGCCAUCAACCAAGAAUGGACAGAUGAUGCGAGAAAUACUAGCUCGCAGUUACAAAGACCUGGCAAAUCAUCACUUGAGAUCGUGUUACCUCUAUUUUGCUGCUUUUCCAGAGGAUUACAAAAUAUCUGUAUUGGCUCUUAUUGAAAUAUGGAUAGCAGAAAGAUUCAUUCCGCAUUUACCAAAUCAUAAACAAGAAGAAACAGCACAUAAGUAUGUACUCGAUUUGGCUCAGAGAAACUUGGUCCAAGUUAUCGACAGAAGUGAGGUACAUGGAUGGAUUCUAACAGUAAGAAUUCAUGACAAUCUACGUGACUGGUGUAUAGAAGAAGCAAGGCAAGAUGGUUUUCUUGAUGUCAUCAACAAAACUGCAGGACAAGGUGGUCCAUCUUCAUCUAAUACCAUGAUAUCAUAUCGUUCUUCUGUCCAAAACUUGAAUGGUGAUCUCAUUUGCCAUGAAAGCAUAUCUAAUUCAUCACGAACACUUGUUGUCUUCAGAAUUCCUUCGGUAUCCUUCUCCAACCAGCUAAAAUUGUUGAGGGUUCUUCAUGUGGAAGAUUCAAGUCUGGAAAAUUUCUCUAGGAUAAUUGGUGGGUGCAUUUACCUAAGAUACCUCAGGUUUAGAAGAUGCAAAGGUGUGGCACUGCCUUCUUCAAUAGGAAAACUCCUUUACUUGGAGACUAUAGAUCUAAAAUCCACACAAAUGGACUCAGUAGUACCAAAGUCCCUCUGGAAUAUCCCUACUCUGAGGCAUGUUUAUCUUGGAAAUGAGUUUUCCCCACCAAGGAGUCUGCGACAUAAAGAGCUCCAGACCUUUGAGUUAUAUCUUACACGUGCCGAAACUAAAUACCGACGUCAUAACAUGGUUAUUUUUCUGGGGCAGAUGAAUCAACUAACAACGUUCUCUUGGGCUAUUAGCCGUAUCCCAUCAGAAGUGAUUAAUAUAUUUGCAAACAUGACUCAUCUUGUUGAUAUUUAUCUCAACAAAUUUAAUGUGCUCAAGACGAUUCCCGCUGAGUUCCCACAAAGCCUACGGUGUCUUGUUCUAUUUGCCGAUAUCAUUGAACAAGAUCCGAUGCCAAUCUUGGAGAAGCUUCCAUCUCUUGUGGUGCUGGAGUUAUCGGGAUAUCAUGGACGAAUCAUGUCCUGCUCUGCCAAAGGGUUUCCUCGCAUGCAAUCGCUAAAACUUGAUGAGUUCUCCAUUGAGGAGUAG